AAGAAGUGGGGGCGGGGGUGGGUGUGAAUGCGGAGGGGGGAGGCGUUGUUGGGGAUGGUUGGGCGGAAGGGGGGAGUGGGCGGUUUCUUAAGUCGGAGGUGCAAUCCCUGGUCUAAACCCAGGAACUGCAGCGGAGACUGGGAGGCUGGAGUACGGGAGAGGGUGGGGGAAUUCCUCGUGUAGCGGGGAAAUGCGUAGAGAUGAGGAGGAACACCAGUGGCGAAGGCGGCCAACUGGACAGUAACUGACGCUGAGGCGCGAAAGCGUGGGUAGCAAACAGGAUUAGAUACCCGUGUAGUC
rnacentral:rRNA from 1 species